rnacentral:rRNA from 1 species
UACGUAGGUGGCGAGCGUUGUCCGGAUUUACUGGGUGUAAAGGGCGUGUAGGCGGGCUUUUAAGUCAGAUGUGAAAUGCCGCAGCUUAACUGCGGAACUGCAUUUGAAACUGAAAGUCUUGAGUGUCGGAGAGGAAAGCGGAAUUCCUAGUGUAGCGGUGAAAUGCGUAGAUAUUAGGAAGAACACCGGUGGCGAAGGCGGCUUUCUGGACGAUAACUGACGCUGAGGCGCGAAAGCGUGGGGAGCAAACAGG